rnacentral:lncRNA from 1 species
CAUCCCUUUGACACUUGAUACUCAAAAACAACUAAGCGUUAAACUGUCAACCCAGAAAGAGUAGUCCAUAUUGUGUCUUAACCUCAAAAAUUCUAUGACUCUUCACUUGGACUACUUUGGUCAAAGUUUUACUAAAUUAAAAUAUAGUGAUGCAUUAUCUUUAAUUUUUCUUAAAGCGAUCAAUCUCAUCUUGACUCGCACUCAGACUUCAUAAGUACUUGACUAUACCC